GCCCGGCUAGCUCAAUCGGUAGAGCGUGAGACUCUUAGCUUUCACGUCCUAAAGACUCGAUUGGUUAUCUCAAGGUUGUGGGUUCGACCCCCACGUCGGGCU
rfam:Alternaria alternata strain SRC1lrK2f unplaced genomic scaffold CC77scaffold_25, whole genome shotgun sequence.